rnacentral:rRNA from 1 species
AGUGAACGCUGGCGGAAGGCCUAACACAUGCAAGUCGAACGGCAGCACAGUAAGAGCUUGCUCUUACGGGUGGCGAGUGGCGGACGGGUGAGGAAUACAUCGGAAUCUACUUUUUCGUGGGGGAUAACGUAGGGAAACUUACGCUAAUACCGCAUACGACCUACGGGUGAAAGCAGGGGAUCUUCGGACCUUUCGCGAUUGAAUGAGCCGAUGUCGGAUUAGCUAGUUGGCGGGGUAAAGGCCCACCAAGGCGACGAUCCGUAGCUGGUCUGAGAGGAUGAUCAGCCACACUGGAACUGAGACACGGUCCAGACUCCUAAGGGAGGCAGCAGUGGGGAAUAUUGGAGAAUGGGCGCAAGCCUGAUCCAGCCAUACCGCGUGGGUGAAGAAGGCCUUCGGGUUGUAAAGCCCUUUUGUUGGGAGAGAAAAGCAGCAGGUUAAUACCCCGCUGUUCUGAAGGUACCCAAAGAAUAAGCACCGGCUAACUUCGUG